GUUUACUGAGUCUCUCAGCCUACACUCAUGCUGCUUGUGGGAAGAUACACAGGCGCGCUACCACUGGUGGAGCCUAGGCUUUCUGACACAACCAGCACUGGAGCUCUUACGUAUACAAGAGUGAAACCAGACCUUCGACUCUUACCCAGUACAAAAGCCAUCCUUAAUUCAGUAAAGGCCUUCAGGUUUUCAUGAUAAUGAGACACAUCUGCUUCUGGCAGCAACAAUUUGCUUCAGAGAUCAUACACAACUGAAGAAACUGGACUGGAAUUUUCUUUCAUUGCAGCAAGAUUAGCCACUGGGCAAAGAAACUGCUCUUGCCUAUGACUGCUGGCAAUGUGUGGUGAGGCUGGACAUGGAGGGCACACAGGAAAAAAGGCUGCUGAACUUUGUCAACAUAAGGUACAACAGACCUUCAAAUUUUUUGCUUCACUGAAAAGUUUUACAUCUCUUCUGGGCCUGUAAGCCAAAGAUGGAUACCCAAACAUCACAAAGGAUCUGUGGGUGAUUUUCCAGGCAGCCAAAUGUCUCUGUUGUUAGAUGAUAUUACAUCCUUCUGUGUCUUUGAUGGAGUUAAAGGUUAGAUAGUUAUAGUUGCAGGUUUUCUUAGUUAUGAUAGAAAGUAAGUUAGGUGUCAAAUUUUGGAUUCAUUAUGAUAGGAUAGAUAAUGCAUUAUUUUCUCUGAAUAUGCUAAGUACAAAUGGACAGCAUAUUGUAAACAUAAUUCUUACUUUAUAAUUGUUUUGGUUGUAUGUAGUUUUAAUAGGUUAAAGUUAAAAUCUUUCAUUUCUGUUUAGACAAAGAGGGGAAAUGCUAUAAUAUCAUUUUAAGAUGUGUUACAUUUGGUUAUUCUAUGGAAAAUUUGCUUUGAAGAUGAAAAAAUGUGUUGCAUUUAUUUAACACUGUGUUCACAGCAACCUUUCAGGAGGGAGUGGUCUGCCAUACCAUAUUGGAAUAGAAGCAAUCCACAGGGUCUCAUCCUCUGUAAAAACAAAAGAAGAAUCUCUUUUCCAAAGUAGCAUAUCCUUAGAUCCAAAUUCUGAAGUCAAGGUAUUUUCAAAAUAUCUAUGUUGGAUUAGUUCAGCAGCAUUUAUAAACAAAUAUCUUUUAGCAGCUGUUGCUCCUUCCUCAGCAUUCAAACAAUUCAAAGAGAGCAUAAUAGCAUACAGUCAGGCAGGAGAAAGGAUAAGAGGGGCUGGCAGGCAGAGAGAAUAUAUAGAAGAAGAAAUCUGGGAGGAAAAGAAGGAGCCAGAGAACAAGGAGAGGAGGACUCUAGCAGCCAGCCACACAGCCACACAAUCAGUCACCAAGGAGUAAGAGUAAAAGUAAGAUAUAUAGAAGAAAAGAAAAAAGUACAAAGCCAAAAUGGGCAAGACUACACCAAGCUAAGGCCAACCAUUUAUAAUUAAGAAUAAGCCUCCACAUAUGUUAUAUAUUUGGGAACUUGGUGGUGAGCUCCCUAAAAGAACAAAAGUAAGUUUAUGGAUUAUUAUGAACAGGACUGCAAAACUGGACAAACAUAGAUACAUUUAACUUUAAAAUGGAAGUCAAAAAUAUAUUUGUCAUAUGAAAAUAAAAAGUGCUUUGGAGAAGAGUUUUUGCUUUUGUUCCCACAAAAGAUGACAAGCUAUAGAUUCCUUCAGGAAUGAGAUGGAUCAGGUUUGAUCAGGUGAGGCCUGAAUCUUGUCUUCCCUGGAAUUGGACAUAAUCUCAAAUUGUUUCUCUCUGACUCCAAAGAUGCUUUCACCCACAGACUGUGGAGCAAUUUGGAGAACAUGAUGCCCAAACUCCCAAGAGUGGUGUGGGAGGCUUAUGGAUAUUUGGUGGGUUAUAGGGGUGUGUGUGUGUGUGUGUGUGUGUGUGUGUGUGUUAUCAUUUAGGGGUAUAUAGGAACAUAGGUUUAAAAAAACAACUUUACACUCAAAUAUUUUGCAUAGGCAUAAAUUUUGGUAUACCAAUAAAAAUUUAAAGUUCAUUUUUGUUUCACUGUACAUAUGUUUCUACUCUUUAUUGGAGAAUUGAGCUUGUGCAGCUCGUUUAAAUGCAAUGUAUAAUUAAGAAAUUGGGUUAGUAGUUAAUCUAUGAUAAUCAAACUUGUAGUAACAUUAGAUAUUUUCCAAGAUUGAAUAUCUAUUAGAUAGAUAAAUGGUCUUCAAACACUUCAAAAACCUAUAGAAUAUGGCAUUUAAAAUGUUUUGUUAAUAUAAGGUUUCUCAUGAUAAUGAAACACAUCUGCUCCUGGCAGUACCAAUUUACUUAAUAAAAUAAUGAUUGGUAUCAAAGAAACUCCACUGGAGUUUGCUUUCAUUGUUGCAAGACUAACCAAUUGGACAAGAAACUGCUUUUGCCUUGACUGCUUCAGUGUGCUGUGCAAACUGAACAUGCAGGACCCACAGAAAAAUGAAUUCUGAACUUUGCUAAAACAAGGUAGGACAAUCCUUCAUGAUUCUUGCUUCAAAAAAGUCUGUGAGAAAUUCUUUAGGACACAAAGGAAAAUACUCAUGAACUUUGCAAAUACAAGGCAGGGUAGUACUUCAAAUUUUCUGCUCCAUUGAAAAGUCUGCCAGAUGCUCUAGGCCUGUCAGACAAAAUGGAUUCCCCAAUGUUUCAGGGGAACUUUGGGUGACUGUCCAGGCAGAUGUCUCUGUUGUUAGGUAAUAUUAAUUUUUCCUGGGGUCUUGAAUGGAGUUAAAGAAUAAAUAGAGUUUAGUUUUCUGUAGCUAUGGUAGAAAAUAAAUUAGCUAUUAAUCUUUGGGAUCACUAAGAUGAGAUGAAUAAUAGAGUGUUUUCUCUGAAUUUGCUAAAUACAAAUGAACUGAAUGUUGUAAAUGUAAUUCUUCCUUGAUAAUUGUCUUGUACAAAUAUUUACUAUGUUAAAGUUAAAACAUUUUGUUAUUAGACAACAGGGGUGAAAUAUUGUGGAAUAUUAUUUUAAGAUGUGUUAUUGAUACAAGCUGUAACAUUAUACAGUAAUUGUUUAGCCAUUUUUUCACAAGUGACUUAUCAUAACCAAGGGAUCUGAUAAAGGUUAAAGCAAAAAGAAAGCUUUUUUGGCAUUGUUGCUUUGUGAAUAAAGUGGGUGAACUUUGUUGGUCCCAUUCUGUUACAUAUUUGGGAAUUACUUCCCAUAGUUCAGAACUGUUUCUUAAAAAUAGUUUCCCACUACCAGUCUUCCUUUCCUCUCCCCUAGGUAUACACAGGUAUGCCUUCUUGUAAUUAUCUUUAUCAGUAGGCAUUCAGUCAGUACACAGGCAAAGAGCAUCCACUUAAGAUAACCAAAGAGCUCCAAGGACAUAGAAUUACUAUCUGUUAAAGCUGCUGCUCUAGCUUUACUGCAGGACCAGAAUAACUGAUAACAGCAUACCCCAGAACUGAUAAUUUAGAAGACUGGGUCCCCUAUGUUUCUUUCUACUGUCUAGAGUAAAACUCCAGACCUAGGCCCAUAGAAACUUCAGUGUCUGGUAUAUGUGCUAUUUGAUCAAGAGCCAUCAGCUUCCUCCUGACUGUUUAUGUAGUUUGCCUGGUUACUUGGUAGCCGCUAUACAUACUGGAAGAAAAGAAGCUGCGCUCUGAUUCAAAAUAUAAUCUAUGCUCUAUUCAUAAUUUUACUGAACAGGCUGAGACUGCACAGAGUGGACCAAGAGGUAAAUGAUUACCCACCCAGAAGAGCACCCCACUCUCUAGGCCCUCAGUAAUGGGGCAAAACCCUGCGACCCACCCCCACUUGCCACACUUCUCUAGUCAGCCAGCAGGACAGCUUUCUGCAGGUAGGCUGUUCCAAAACCCCCACCCCAUCAACUGGACCCUGUAAGCUACAAGUCCCACUCCAGGAUCAAACCCACCUAUACUGUGCUACCUCAGAGGAACUCUGAAGAACAGACUAGAACUGUACAGAGGAGACCACGAGGUGAGUGUACAGAGAACUGUACAGAGGAAUCCCCUUGCAGCUGGACGACCCACUCUCUAGGCUCUCUGUGACAGGGCAAAACCCUGGGCCCCUCCCCCAUCUGCCACAGCUUGUCUAGCCAGAUAGCAGGCAAGUUUCUUCCAGGUAGGCUGCUGCAACAACCCCACCCCAUCGAUCAGACCCUGUAAGCUACAAGUUCCAGUCUGCCCCCAAAACUGCCAAUACAACCAUCACCAUCCACUUCUCCAUCCAUCACCCCUGCAAAUCACAGAGCAAACCAAGAGAGCGGACCAAGGACAUCAGUAAUAACCAUUCAAAAGAUUAAAUAUUCCAGUUAAGGAACUAGCCCACUAUUUCUUAAUUCUGAUUUACUAAAUCUCCAGAAUAAGAAAGGCCAAAAUAUCACACAAAUGACUUCUAGCUUUAACUUUUAUGGUCUGUCUUUUUCCAUCUGAAAUGCUAUGAUCUCAAUCUCUACUUUCUGCCAUUUCUUUUAACAUUCCCAUCUUCCUGGUCCUACAAGGAUAGCAAAUUAAAUUCUGUAUACAACUUUCUAUGUUUUUUUGCCACAUAAAGUCAUUUCAUACACAUUCUUCUAAAAAGACAACAUUUCCAGGUUCUACCUAGCAACAAAAUUACAUUUUGCGUUCAAUUUUUUGUUCUAACUUGCUUUUUUUUUUUAAUUUUCAUUUUUCGAGACAAGGUUUUUCUGUAGCUUUGAAGCCUGUCCUGGAACUAGCUCUUAUAGACCAGACUGGUCUCAAACUCACAGAGAUUCGCCUGACUCCGCCUUACAAGUGCUAGGAUUAAAGACAUGUGCUGUAAGACUUUAACUUGUAUUUAUGCUGCUGGUCAAAAAUGCAAGUUAGAGGCAGGUGAUCUCUGGAGUUCAAGAUCAGUAGAGUGAGUUGGAUGACUAUAAGGGCUACAAAGAGAAACCCUGUCAUGAAAGAAAAAAAGUAUUUUCAUAAGUAGCAAAUCAUGCAGCAAUAAUCAAUGAUAAUGUUUGUUAAAUGCAAGGCAGGUCUUGGAGGUUACAGAUUCAGACCAUCACUGUUUUAGAGUUACUAAUGUUAUAAUGAAGCACCAUGACCAAAAAAGUAAUGUGUGGAAAAACAAGUUCAUUUCACUCAGUUUCAUCAUCAAAAUAAGUGAGGACAGAAACACAAGCAAGGUAGGAACCUAAAAGUAGGCACUGAAGCAGGGGCCUUAGAGGGGUCCUGCUUACUGACUUGCACUCUAUGGCUUGCUCAGCCAGCUUUCUUAUAGAACCCAGGAAAGCCAUUUUGGGAUUGGCCUCAUCAACAAUGGGCUGGUCACUAGCCCACUAAUCACUGUUUAAGAAAAUGCCAUUUAUUUUGACUGCAGCCCAAUAUCAUGGAAACAUUUUCUCUGUUGAGACUUCUUUCUCUCAAAUUUUCCUAGAUUAUGUUCAAUUGACAUAAAACUUGCCAGUACAACCACAGAAGUAAAUACCUUGAAGCAAGACAUGUGAGUUUUGUUGUUAUUGUUCUUGUUGUUUCCCAAUGCAUACAAAAUUGUUUCUAUGCUUUCCGUACAACAUGAUAGCAUUGUUUCCAAAUACUGUAUGAUCCCUAACUUAGAAAUGUGCUGCAGAUCCAGAAAAAUGGGGAAAACCACUGGGCCCCGAGCCUGAAGUUCCUAGCUCCAUCCAUAGAAACCACAUGGCGGAAGAGCAGAAACAAAUCCUGCGAGUUUUCCUUUGACUUCCACACGCAUAUUGCCUUAGCACAAGCGCACAUUCACAUGUAAAGAAUAAAUAUUAGAUUAGUUUAAAGAAAAAUAUGCUUCAGCUAAGAACUAUUGAUGAUGACAGGUGUGGGAAGUCAUGCCUGUAACUGCAACACUUGGGAGCCUGAGACAAUCUAGACUACAUAGUGAGUUCCCAGACAAUCUGGGAUAAAGAGCAAGACAGUGCCUCAAGAAAAAUAAGCUGGGUACAUCUGGGUGUUACACAUAUGUUCAUUUCGAAGUCAGGAUGCCGAGGCAACAGAAGACUAAGAUUGAGGUCAGUAUACAAUAUACAAUACAAGAAAAACUUGCCCCAAAUGGACAAUCACUACAUUCAGCAUAGUGUUUCCUUUUUGCUGGAGGCAUAAUUGAUUUUGGUUUCCACACAUGCUGUCUUAUGCAGGGGCUGCAUACAGGCUAAAGACUGGGUACAUGUGGCAACUUCCUCAAAGAGCUCAAAAGAUUAGUUUCCUAUUUUCACUACAAACACACACACACACACACACACACACACACACACACACACACGCCCACACACCCCAGUAUGCUGUGCUGCUUGAUAGCAUUUUACCCGCAGUAAAAUUUUCUUCAAAAUCAAGGGCUAAGAAUAUAGUACAUUUCAGUAGCAAUUUGAAGUCCUAAAUUUCAUGUCACAGGACUGUCACAAAUGGGGAAAGGGACAUCACUGACCUUUCAAGCUACCUGACUCUUACCAUGGGAGCCCCGAUGGAAAAUCACUAGCAAGAUAUUGGUAGUUUGAUAUAAAAUGUUCCAACCUUGUCAGGCAGUGGUGGCACAUGACUUUAAUCCCAGAAAUUGGAAGACAGAAGAAGUGGAUCUCUGUGAGUUCAAGCCCAACCUUGUCUAUAGGAAAGGCUUCAUAGCUACAGAGAAACUGUCUUAAAAAACCAAAACCAAAAAAAACAAACAAAAUAAAUAAAUGCCCCAGCCUUCAGAACAGUAGGUAGGCAUAUUUAUAUUUCUUGUAAGUUAGCCAGCUUUGGAUAUUAUAAAAAUAACAAACUGAUAUAGGUCUUAUCAUCUAUAUUCUAACCAAUAUAAGUACCUGGGGAGGAUUCAGUGAAAAUACUUUUUUUGCCUGCUUGAAAUACAGUUGCUGUUUACUCAUGGAGGACACUAGAUAUCUCCUUGUUUUAGCAAUUAUAAAUAGAUCUGCCAUGAUCAUCCCUGUGGGGGAGGGAAAGGGAGAACUAGAGUGACAGGAGGCUACACCCCAAGCUGCAGAACAAAGAGACAAACCUUGGAAUCAUAGUGGACCUGAAAGUCAGGUAAAGGACCAGAAAAAAAAAUAGGUGCUCAUCAUUUGAUAAAAAUUCAACAGCCAUUCAUGACAAAAGUCUUGGAGAAAGCAGGGAUAGAAGAAACUUAUCUAAACACACACACCAAAAGGCAAUACAGAGCAAGCCAACAGCCAACAUCAAACUAAAUGGAGAGAAACCCAAAUCGAUCCCACUAAAGUCAGGAACAAGACAAGGUUGUCCACUAUCUCCAUAUCUAUUCAGUAUAGUACUUGAAUAGAUAUAGUACACCUAGUUACAGUAAUAAGGCAACAAAAGGAGAUCAAGGGGAUAUAAAUUGGAAAAUAAGUCAAAUUCUCACUAUUUGCUGAUGAUAUGAUGGUAUACAUAAGAGACGCCAAGAACUCUACCAAGGGAGCUCCUACAAUUCAUGAACACAUUCAGUAAUUUAGCAGGAUACAAGAUUAAGUCGAAAAAUCAGUAGACCUCCUUUAAAGAGAUGAUAAACAGGUUGAGAAAAAAAUCAGAGAAACAUCACCCUUCACAAUAGCCACAAAUAAUAUAAAAUAUCUUGGGGUAACUACAACCAAACAAGUAAAAAAAAGGUGUAUGACAAGAACUUUAAAACUUUGAACAAAAAAAUGAAGAAAAAAACGGAAAAUGGAAAGAUCUCCCAUACUCCUUAGGUAGGUUGAAUUUACAUAGCAAAAAUGGAAGUCUAUAGAUUCAAUGCAAUGCCCAUCAAAAUCCCAGCAAAAUUCUUCACAGAGCUUGAAAGAACAAUACUAACUUAAAAUGGUAAAACAAAAAACCCAGGAUAGUCAAAAUAAUCUUGUACAAUAAAGAAACUAGUGGAGGCAUCACCAUCCCUACCCACAAACUCUACUAUAGAGCUACAGUAAUGAAAACUGCCUGGUAGGCCGGGCGGUGGUGGCACACGCCUUUAAUCCCAGCACUCGGGAGGCAGAGGCAGGCGGAUCUCUGUGAGUUCGAGACCAGCCUGGUCUACAGAGCUAGUUCCAGGACAUGCUCCAAAGCCACAGAGAAACCCUGUCUUGAAAAACCAAAAAAAAAAAAAAAAGAAAAAAAGAAAAAGAAAACUGCCUGGUGUUGGCAUAAAACCAUACAGGAGGACCUAUGGAAUUAAAUAAAAUAACCGAAUAUCAAUCCAGACACCUACGAACACCCGAUUUUUGACAAAGAAGCUAUAAUUAUAAAAUGGAAAAAAGCAUAUGCAACAAAUGGUACUGGAAUAACUGGAUGCCAACAUGUAGAAGAAUGCAAAUAGAUCCAUAUAUAUCACCAUGCACAAAAUUCAGGUCCACAUGGAUCAAAUCUGUGACUACAUCAAGAAUUUAUACUGGAUUCUCUGUGAGCUCCGUAGAACUCUGUCAUACAUUCUGCGCCAAUACUUGGGGGACAUAAGAGGUAAGUAAGCAGCAACUCUGUGACCCAGACACCCCACUCCCUAAGAACUCCAGGGGGGGAGGGGAGAAAAGCCAGGGGGGCCUUCCCAGGUUCCUCGACAUUUCUAGCCACCAGCAGGGAGCUUGCCUGCUAGUCCUCAAUCCAGGAUAUUAAUCCACACACCUAUGAA